rnacentral:lncRNA from 1 species
AUGAGAUGUUCCUAAUACCUAAGCAAUCUCGAUGCACACGGAGUGGAGUUAAAACUCGACGCUUGUGUUCAAUUCCGCGGCCCCGUGGACGGUGUUCUGGCACCGUGUACAGACCUCGAGAGGAACUGGUCUCCUGCCAGCAGGAGCACAUCUUGCUUCUUGCGUCUCCUUUUAAGGCAUGUUCAAUAAACGGCUCAGACACCAUCUCUUUCUGCCCCCCGCACAACCAAAUCCUUCCAGGGAAUGCGCCCGCGUGUGGUUUAGCGGCAGAUUAUUUGUGUCUUGUUUUCUGAAAGUCGCAUAAACUUAACCUGAACAAAUAUGUUCCCCGGCAUGUUCUUCCUGAAUUGCAGUCAAAGUUUUUCAGUAAUUAAGCAUUUUCUCCCAGAGUGUUGGGAACCAGAGUGCCGUGUGCCAAAGCAAGACAGGCAUUAAUGAAGACGGAAAAUAAAGGGAAGCCAAGUUCAAGCAGCAAAAACAUUCUGCCUUAUUUCAUCGCAAUGAGAGGCCACGGGGAAACAUGCAAAGUGAGGCAUAAAGUAAGUUCCUUGUGGUGGUUGAUGUGAAUUCUUCCACUAAGAUCUUUUAUGAAAAGAAAUCACCCAUCUUAAGAACUAAAUAAGAAGAUUAAAAAAAAAAACUAAACUAAAUAAGGAGUUCCUAUCUUGACUCAGUGAAAAAUGAGUCCGACCAGCACCCACGAGGACCCAGGUUCCAUCCCUGACCUUGCUCAGUGGGUUAAGGACCCAGCAUUGCCACGAGCUGUGGUGUGGGUCGCAGACACAGAUUGCAUCUGGUAUGGCUGUGGCUGUGGCUGUGGCUGUGGCAGGCAGCUCUGCAGUCCCCAUUCAACCCCUCGCCUGGGAACCUCCAUAUGCUGCAGGUGUGAACCUAAAAAAAGAGAGAAAGGUAAAUAAGAAAUCACAGCCACCUACCAGGUCUAAGGUAUGUUCCAGUAAAUUCGAAAACAUUAAGGAUGCACUCCUCUAACAUGGAGAACUAGGCUAUCCUUGGGGGGGAAUAAAUAAUCCAGAAUUCUCUCUCUGCCUCUCAUCCUAGAAGAUGUCAAAUCCUCUUGAUGCCAUCCAAUUGCCAUAAUUUUUUUUCAUUCUAAGACGUGUUAACCAAAUCAAAUGAAAAAUAUACAUAGCCUAGAGAGUCGUCUUCCAGAAAAGUUCAGCCAUGGGGACCACAUAAUGUUAGGGGGUGGGAGGAGGGAGAAGAGAAGGGAGAGGAGGAAGAAAGAGAGCAUCACGUCUCAGCAAGAUGUGCAGCCUCUGACUGUACCGUGUCGUGGCAGUAUCGGCUUCGUGCACAAGACGAUGGUACAGCCAAGCGCGGUGCCAUAAAAUGCCAAGAAACGAAAGAACCCCUGAUUCUCUCUACUUCCAAAGCUUCUCCAACCAAUGCGUACCCCAGGAGUCAACUUCAAAUGUUCUCCUUUUAACUCUCCCCUUUUCCAAUCAACGACAGCUAUUACGGUUUCACAUAGGCUCGUUAUACAUUUGAAUAUUAAUUUCAUUUUGUAAAAUCUCAAUGCCCUUGAGAGAGAUGCUUACUUCUUAGACAGUGAAGUGACAUAUUAGCUUCCUAUGUGACAAAUUACGACAAACUGGGGGGAGGGGGCUGAAAACAACUCAAUUCCUGGAGGUGAGAAAUCUGAAAUGGGUUCCAGGGGGUGAAAUCAAGCCCUCGGCGGGGUCGCGCUGAAGGCUCUAGACUGGAGCAAUGCCCUCACCUUAUCCGGGCCCCAGUGCUGGAUGCUCGCAUCCUUUGGCUCCAGGCUUCCUUCCAUCUUCAAGGAAGGGAGCACAGCACCUUCAACUGCUCUGCUCGAUCUUCGCAUUGCCUCUCUUCUUUGGAGCAAAUCUCCAUCUGCUUCCUUUUCGUAGGACUCUCGUGAGUCUUUAUGUUACAAACUUGUCCAUUCAGAAUUCACAUGGACAGUCAGGACAAAUCUCCCAUCCAAAUACGCAACUGGGAGUUCCUUAGCGGCUCAGUGCGUUAAAAAUCCAACAUAAUGUCUCUGAGGAUAUGGGUUCAAACCCUAGCCUCUCUCAGUGGAUUAAGGAUCUGCUGUUGCCACAAGCUGUGGCUUAGACCUGGCGUUGCUGUGGCUGCGGCAUAGGCUGGCAACUGCAGCUCUGAUUUGACCCCUAGCCUGGGCACUUCCACGUGCGGCAAGCGCAGCCAGGAAAAGAAAAAGGAAGGGGGUUGUGGGAUGGAAAUCCUAUAAAAUUGGAUUGUGAUGAUCACUGUACAACUAUAAAUGUAAUAAAUUCAUUGAGUAAUAAAGAAAAAAAUUGUUUCUCCCCAGCCCCUACAAAAAAAAAAAAAAAAUCAGUCCACCUGGUCUCAAAUAUUUAAUGUAACUCCAUGGUCUCUAAUUUUAAUAAGAUGAAUACUGUUAUCAAUGACAAUAAAAGUAACAAACAUAUAGUGUGCACCAGGUAUAUUUCGACAUAUUCUUUCACACUAAUUCAUAUAUUAAUUCAUGAAUUCUAACAAAAUUGCUAACAGAUGAGUACUAGCACCUGGGUGCUAUAGACAAAGAAACUGAGCACAGAGAGUUAACUCUUUUGCCCAAGGUCAUGGAGCUAGUAAGGUGGCAGAGCCAGAUCUAGACAACUGGGGCCUAGAGUCUAUGCUUUUGACCACUACUCCCAACCCCUCGCUAUAUAACGAUUUAGCAGAAAAAGAAUUCAAGAGUUUACUUGCAUUAUUUUUUAGAGUCCACAUAUGUGACAUCACCUAGUAUUUGUCAUUCUGUGUCUGACUUACUUCACUCUGUGUGAUUUUCUCUAGGUCCCUCCCAUCUCUAGGUUGCUGCAAAUGGCAAUAUAUUAUUCUCUCUUAUGACUGAGUCGUAUUCCAUUGUGUAUAUACACCACAUCUUCUUUAUCCACCCACCUGCCGAUGGACACGUAGGCUGCCUCUAGGUCUUGGCUGUUGUAACAGUGCUGCCAUGAACACUGAGGUCCACCUAUCGUGUCACAUUAGAACUUCAGCCUUUUCUGGAUAGAUGCCCAGGGGUAGGAUUGCUGGAUCAUUUGGUAGGUCUAUUUUUAGCUGUUGUUUUUUCUCUUUUGGCUGAAUCCAUUGCACUCUGGAAAUUCCCAGGCCAGAGACUGAACCCAUGCCACAGCAGUGACAAUGCUGGAUCCUUGCUUUAAAGAGAACCCUUGAAACUAACACAAUAUUGUAAAUCAACUAUACUUCAAUUAAAAAAAAAUAAUUCUAGGAGUUCUCAUGGCGCAGCGGGUUAAGGAUCCAGUGUUGUAUUGCAGUGGCUCGGGUGGCUGCUGUGGCAGAAGUUUGAUCCCCGACCCUGGAACUUCCACAUGCAGCCAAAAAAAUAAUAAUUCUAGAAGUUCAAUCUAAUGGAAUAAAAUAUAACUAGAAAGUAAGGGAGUUCCCGUCGUGGCGCAGUAGUUAACGAAUCCGACUAGGAACCAUGAGGUUGUGGGUUCGAUCCCUGCCCUUGCUCAGUGGGUUAACGAUCCGGCAUUGCUGUGAGCUGUGGUGUAGGUUGCAGACACAGCUCAGAUCCUACGUUGCUGUGGCUCUGGCGUAGGCCGGUGGCUACAGCUCCGAUUCAACCCCUAGCCUGGGAACCUCCAUAUGCCGUGGGAGCGGCCCAAGAAAUAGCAAAAAGACAAAAAAAAAAAAAAAAAAGAAAACUAGGACCCAUGGCCUCGCUCAGUGGGUUAAGGAUCCUGCGUUGCUGUCGCUUUGGUAUAGGCGGCAGCUGCAGCUCCAAUUCAACCUGCAGCCUGGGAACUUCCAAAGGCCACAGGU